ensembl:misc_RNA 7SK 7SK RNA
GGAUGUGAGGGUGAUCUCGCUGUGACAUCUGUCACCCCAUUGAUCGCCAGGGUUGAUUCGGCUGAUCUGGCUGGCUAAGCGGGUGUCCCCUUCCUCCCUCACCGCUCCAUGUAUGUCCCUCCCGAAGCUGCACACUCGGUGGAAGAGGACGGCCUUCCCUGAAUAGAAACGGACCGGGCUUCGGUCGAGGGUAUAGGAGUAGCUGCGCUCCCCUGCUAGAACCUCCAAACAAACUCUCAAGACUAGGGUUCAGUAAGAUGGCAUGUACAAAGCAUUUACCACAGUACCUGGUACACAGAAACAGCUCAGUUGAGUGUUGUUAUCA